AUUGAACGCUGGCGGAAUGCUUUACACAUGCAAGUCGAACGGCAGCACGGAUUUCGGUCUGGUGGCGAGUGGCGAACGGGUGAGUAAUACAUCGGAACGUGCCCAGUCGUGGGGGAUAACGUAGCGAAAGCUACGCUAAUACCGCAUACGAUCUAAGGAUGAAAGCGGGGGAUCGCAAGACCUCGCGCGAUUGGAGCGGCCGAUGGCAGAUUAGGUAGUUGGUAGGGUAAAGGCCUACCAAGCCGACGAUCUGUAGCUGGUCUGAGAGGACGACCAGCCACACUGGGAACGAGACACGGCCCAGACUCCUACGGGAGGCAGCAGUGGGGAAUAUUGGACAAUGGACGCAAGUCUGAUCCAGCCAUUCCGCGUGCAGGAUGAAGGCCCUCGGGUUGUAAACUGCUUUUGUACAGAACGAAAAGGCUCUGGUUAAUACCUGGAGCUCAUGACGGUACUGUAAGAAUAAGCACCGGCUAACUACGUGCCAGCCGCCGCCGUAACAC
rnacentral:rRNA from 1 species